rnacentral:lncRNA from 1 species
UUCUUAUGCUGCUUAUCGUUCCGUACAUCGGUAAUGCAAGUGUAGCACCAAUUUGGCGGUUGGCUUAUUUCUUCUACCGAAGCAUAAGGCAUGGAACCCUGCUUGAUGUCUCGUCAUGACGAUUGGACACUUUGCUUUGGGAUAUUUGCUGCUCUUUCUCGCCACCACUGCCGAUUUCAAGAAAUUACGCAAAAUACCAAGGAUACAUGGCUCCCUGUGUAACACUACUAGGGAUUGUAACGUUGGUCAGAAGCUGGCAUGUCUUCUGGUAAAUGGAAAUAAAAUCGUA